rnacentral:rRNA from 1 species
UGGGGAAUCUUGGACAAUGGGCGAAAGCCUGAUCCAGCGACGCCGCGUGGGUGAUGAAGGCCUUCGGGUUGUAAAGCCCUGUUGAGGGGAAAGAAAACGUUGGGCGCGAAUAGCUCCCGACCUUGACGGUACCCCUCCAGAAAGCACCGGCUAACUCUGUGCCAGCAGCCGCGGUAAGACAGAGGGUGCAAACGUUGUUCGGAAUUACUGGGCGUAAAGCGCGUGUAGGCGGCCCUGCAAGUCGGGUGUGAAAUCCCAUGGCUCAACCAUGGAAGUGCAUUCGAAACUGCAGGGCUAGAGUCCUGGAGAGGAAGGUGGAAUGCUUGGUGUAGAGGUGAAAUUCGUAGAUAUCAAGCGGAACACCGGUGGCGAAGGCGGCCUUCUGGACAGUGACUGACGCUGAGACGCGAAAGCGUGGGGAGCAAA